GAUGAAGAACGUAGCGAAAUGCGAUACGUAAUGUGAAUUGCAAAUUCAGUGAAUCAUCGAGUCUUUGAACGCACAUUGCGCCCCCUGGUAUUCCGGGGGGCAUGCCUGUCCGAGCGUCAUUGCUGCCCUCAAGCACGGCUUGUGUGUUGGGCCCCGUCCUCCGAUCCCGGGGGACGGGCCCGAAAGGCAGCGGCGGCACCGCGUCCGGUCCUCGAGCGUAUGGGGCUUUGUCACCCGCUCUGUAGGCCCGGCCGGCGCUUGCCGAUCAACCCAAAUUUUUAUCCAGGUUGACCUCGGAUCAGGUAGGGAUACCCGCUGAACUUAAGCAUAUCAAUAAGCGGAGG
rnacentral:misc_RNA from 1 species